ACCCGCACAAGCAGCGGAGCGUGUGGUUUAAUUCGAUGCUACACGAAGAACCUUACCAGGGUUUGACAUGCAAGUGGUAGGAAUCUGAAAAGGGACCGACCUUCGGGGAGCUUGCACAGGUGCUGCAUGGCUGUCGUCAGCUCGUGUCGUGAGAUGUUCGGUUAAGUCCGCUAACGAGCGCAACCCUCACUGUGUGUUAUAUGUGUCACACGGGACUGCCGGUUUUAAGCCGGAGGAAGGUGGGAUGACGUCAAGUCAGCAUGGCCUUUAUAUCCUGGGCUACACACACGCUACAAUGGUCGGUACAAUAGGUUGCCAAGCCGCGAGGCGGAGCCAAUCCACAAAGCCGGCCUCAGUUCAGAUUGUAGGCUGCAACUCGCCUGCAUGAAGAUGGAGUUGCUAGUAACCGCAGGUCAGCAAUACUGCGGUGAAUACGUUCCCGGGUCUU
rnacentral:rRNA from 1 species